UGCCAGUACUGAGUCACGUGAUCGUAUCAGCCAGUGGGGUCAAAGUUCCUCAUCCCUUACCAGCUUCUGUCCCUCCUCCCCUCCUCAAAACUAUCGGGUUCUUACUCUCGCCGGCAUUUUCUCUGCGGCGUUCCGGUUAGCCAGUGAAUUUAGUCAUUCGCGACCUUCGACGACGGAGUUACUUGCGUAGCCGUUUGUGUUCAUUAGUGACGGAGAUAUAUCGCAAAGCGUUCGCAGCCCAGUGUUUGUGUGUGUACCUUGACGCCACUCCCGACAACGGACGAACGAGUUCACGAGUGAAGCAGAAAUACCGUCAAGACUGUAUAGGCCUAGUGUGUGUGUGUGUGUGUGUGUGUGUGUGUUAUCCGCAAUCUUCAAGGAACGAAAUUUUUUUGCGUCCCCGUCUCGGUGUUAAGUGCCGCGAAAGCAUCGCAACGAGCGCCGAGGUCUAGUCGUGUGUGCGUAUGUGCCUGGCGCUCGGGCGGGGCAGACAGCAGGGUGGCGGCGCCCCGGCCCCUCAGCCACCGCUGCUGCCGGCUCCACCACCACAGCGUGCAGACUUCUAAGGACACCUGGAAUGGGAAUGUUAAUCCCGGGAUAAAAAAUCUCCUGUUAACGCCCACCGAGCCGCCCUGAACUCCGCCCCAGAGACACCAAGUGACCCCCGAGGCUAGGUUCCAUCCCCCCAGGAGCAGACCCGCCCCGCACGGCUAACUCCUCCGCCAUCAUUAAUUCACUGACAAGGGCAGAGGGUUUCGGAGGGUGAAUCACUUCCUUCUUGUUGGGCGGCACAUGGUGUGGCUGUCUAGGCGUGUGGUGACGUGGUGGUGCGUCGCGGCGCCGCACGACGGUCUCUAGCCCU